ACAGCUUUCGGGUUUCUUCACUUUUUGAACAGUAUAAAGCAGUUCAUUUUGCGGACGCACUUGUCAGUAACACCCCAGUCAGCCAGCCAAUAAAGCGAAUUCAUAGCAUCAAGUGGCAGAUCACCAACCACUUUUCAUUGACUGCCACUUUGACAAGAAGGUGAUGGGGCUAUAAUGAUAGUACUGCAAGCCACAAUUUGAAGCAACAACUCUCUCUAAUUGAUUGUUCCAGCUGCACUGAGAUUCAGAGACAACAAACUUAGCAUCUAGAUUUCUUUUUCCUGAGCUGUCUGCCAAUAGAACCACCA
rnacentral:sRNA from 1 species